GCCCCGAUAGUAUAGCGGCUAGUAUUGUGGAUUGUGGCUCCAUAGAGGCAGGUUCGAAUCUUGCUCGGGGCACCA
rnacentral:tRNA from 1 species